UGCAGAGGGUGCGAGCGUUAAUCGGAAUUACUGGGCGUAAAGAGCUCGUAGGCGGUGUGUCGCGUCGGCCGUGAAAACCUGCAGCUUAACUGUGGGCUUGCGGUCGAUACGGGCAUCACUGGAGUUCGGCAGGGGAGACUGGAAUUCCUGGUGUAGCGGUGAAAUGCGCAGAUAUCAGGAGGAACACCGGUGGCGAAGGCGGGUCUCUGGGCCGAUACUGACGCUGAGGAGCGAAAGCGUGGGGAGCGAACAGG
rnacentral:rRNA from 1 species